rnacentral:rRNA from 1 species
CUGCCUCAUACAGGGGGAUAACAGUUAGAAAUGACUGCUAAUACCGCAUAAGCGCACAGGGACACAUGUUCCGGUGUGAAAAACUCCGGUGGUAUGAGAUGGACCCGCGUCUGAUUAGCUGGUUGGCGGGGUAACGGCCCACCAAGGCGACGAUCAGUAGCCGACCUGAGAGGGUGACCGGCCACAUUGGGACUGAGACACGGCCCAAACUCCUACGGGAGGCAGCAGUGGGGAAUAUUGCACAAUGGGGGAAACCCUGAUGCAGCAACGCCGCGUGAGUGAAGAAGUAUUUCGGUAUGUAAAGCUCUAUCAGCAGGGAAGAAGAUGACGGUACCUGAGUAAGAAGCCCCGGCUAACUACGUGCCAGCAGCCGCGGUAAUACGUAGGGGGCAAGCGUUAUCCGGAUUUACUGGGUGUAAAGGGAGCGUAGACGGUGAGACAAGUCUGAAGUGAAAGCCCGGGGCUCAACCCCGGGACUGCUUUGGAAACUGCCUGACUGGAGUGCUGGAGAGGCAAGCGGAAUUCCUAGUGUAGCGGUGAAAUGCGUAGAUAUUAGGAAGAACACCAGUGGCGAAGGCGGCCUGCUGGACAGUAACUGACGUUGAGGCUCGAAAGCGUGGGGAGCAAACAGGAUUAGAUACCCUGGUAGUCCACGCCGUAAACGAUGA